rnacentral:rRNA from 1 species
GAUGAACGCUAGCUGGAGGCUUAAUACAUGCAAGUCGAGCGGGAUUGGGUAGCAAUACCCAUGAGAGCGGCGCACGGGUGAGUAACGCGUACACGACCUACCUCUAACAGGGGGAUAGCCCUGGGAAACUGGGAUUAAUACCGCAUAUAAUUCUGACAAAUAAAGAGUUGGAAUGAAAGUUCAGGCGGUUAGAGACGGGUGUGCGUCUGAUUAGCUAUUUGGUGAGGUAACGGCUCACCAAGGCGACGAUCAGGAGGGGGCGUGAGAGCGUGGUCCCCCACACGGGUACUGAGACACGGACCCGACUCCUACGGGAGGCAGCAGUAAGGAAUAUUGGACAAUGGCCGCAAGGCUGAUCCAGCCAUCCAGCGUGCAGGAAGAAGGCCCUAUGGGUUGUAAACUGCUUUUGUCAGGGAAUAAACCUGUGGAUUCACUCCGCAGCUGAAGGUACCUGAAGAAUAAGCACCGGCUAACUCCGUGCCAGCCGCCGCCGUAACAC